UACAGAGGUCUCAAGCGUUGUUCGGAUUCAUUGGGCGUAAAGGGUGCGUAGGCGGCGCGGUAAGUCGGGUGUGAAAUCUCGGAGCUUAACUCCGAAACUGCAUUCGAUACUGCCGUGCUUGAGGACUGGAGAGGAGACUGGAAUUUACGGUGUAGCGGUGAAAUGCGUAGAUAUCGUAAGGAAGACCAGUGGCGAAGGCGGGUCUCUGGUCUGUAACUGACACUGAGGCGCGAAAGCGUGGGGAGCGAACAGG
rnacentral:rRNA from 1 species